rnacentral:rRNA from 1 species
AUUGAACGCUGGCGGCAGGCCUAACACAUGCAAGUCGAGCGGAUGAAGGGAGCUUGCUCCUGUAUUCAGCGGCGGACGGGCGAGUAAUUCCCAGGAAUCUGCCUGGUAUUUGGGGAUAACGUCCGGUAACGGGCGCUAAGACCGCAUACGUCCUGAGGGAGAAAGUGGUGGUUCUUCAGACCUCACCCGAUUAGCUGACCCUAGGUCGGAUUAGCUAGUUGGUGGGGUAAAGGCCUACCAAGGCGACGAUCCGUAACUGGUCUGAGAGGCUGACCAGUCACACUGGAACUGAGACACGGUCCAGACUCCUACGGGAGGCAGCAGUGGGGAAUCUUGGACAAUGGGCGAAAGCCUGACCCAGCAACGCCGCGUGUGUGAAGAAGGUCUUCGGAUCGUAAAGCACUUUAAGUUGGGAGGAAGGACAGUAAGUUAAUCCCUUGAUGUUUUGACGUUACCAGCAGAAUAAGCACCGGCUAACUUCGUG